rnacentral:rRNA from 1 species
GCUUGGCCCUAAACCUCAAUAGUUAAAAUAACAAAACUAUUCGCCAGAAUACUACAAGCAACAGCUUAAAACUCAAAGGACUUGGCGGUGCUUCAUACCCCCUAGAGGAGCCUGUUCUGUAAUCGAUAAACCCCGAUCCACCCCACCCUCUCUUGCUUAGUCUAUAUACCGCCAUCUUCAGCAAACCCUGAUGAAGGCUACGAAGUGAGCGCAAAUGCCUUUCCCCGCAAAAACGUUAGGUCAAGGUGUAACCUAUGAGACGGUAAAAAUGGGCUACAUUUUCUACUUCAGAAAACCCCACGAUAGCUCUUAUGAAAUCUAAGAGCCCAAGGAGGAUUUAGCAGUAAAUUAAGAAUAGAGUGCUUAAUUGAACUAGGCCAUAAAGCACGC